rnacentral:pre_miRNA from 1 species
AGCUGCAUUACAGGGCAAAAUCUCCAUUGGCAGGCAGCCACUUAAUAUAAAUUGUUGCAAGCUUAGUGUGCUAUCUGCCAAAGGAGAUUUGCCAGGCAAUUCUUUC